rnacentral:rRNA from 1 species
UUGGGAAUAUUGGACAAUGGAGGAAACUCUGAUCCAGUGACGCCGCGUGAAGGAAGAAGGUCUUCGGAUUGUAAACUUAUUUUGUCAGGGAAGAAAAAAAUGACUGUACCUGAAGAAAAAGCACCGGCUAACUACGUGCCAGCAGCCGCGGUAAUACGUAGGGUGCAAGCGUUAUCCGGAUUUACUGGGUGUAAAGGGCGAGUAGACGGCGUUGCAAGUCAGAUGUGAAAACCUAGGGCUCAACCGUAGGACUGCAUCUGAAACUGUAAUGCUAGAGUGCAGGAGAGGUAAGCGGAAUUCCUAGUGUAGCGGUGAAAUGCGUAGAUAUUAGGAGGAACACCAGUGGCGAAGGCGGCUUACUGGACUGUAACUGACGUUGAGGAGCGAAAGUGUGGGGAGCAAACAGG